rnacentral:rRNA from 1 species
UUUGGUGACGAUAGCAAAGAGGAUACACCUGUUCCCAUCCCGAACACAGUAGUUAAGCUCUUUAGCGCCAAUGGUAGUUGGGGGUUUCCCCCUGUGAGAGUAGGACGUUGCCAAGC